rnacentral:rRNA from 1 species
AUACGGAGGGUGCAGGCGUUGUUCGGAAUUAUUGGGCGUAAAGCGCGUGUAGGCGGUUGGUUAAGUCUGAUGUGAAAGCCCUGGGCUCAACCCGGGAAGUGCAUUGGAAACUGGCUGACUUGAGUACGGGAGAGGGUAGUGGAAUUUCGAGUGUAGGGGUGAAAUCCGUAGAUAUUCGAAGGAACACCGGUGGCGAAGGCGGCUACCUGGACCGAUACUGACGCUGAGACGCGAAAGCGUGGGGAGC